GACGGAGGAGGCAAGCGUUGUCCGGAAUCACUGGGCGUAAAGCGUACGUAGGCGGAUCGAUAAGUCGGGGGUUAAAGGCCGUAGCUCAACCUCGGGACGGCCCUGGAAACUGACUGGCUCGAGUGACGGAGAGGUUGGCGGAAUUCCCGGUGUAGCGGUGAAAUGCGUAGAUAUCGGGAAGAACACCAGUGGCGAAAGCGGCCAACUGGGCCGUGACUGACGCUGAGGUACGAAAGCUUGGGGAGCAAACAGG
rnacentral:rRNA from 1 species